AGACCCCAAAAAGGGGAAGUUUUGUGCAAAGGGGGGGGUGUCACGAGAUUUUAGGAGCUGCCCAAUCAGACGCUGAGCUCAGGAAAGGGGGCGUGGCUUGAUUUGCCACCCUUAGCCCCGCCCCUUUUCCUCCCCCACCGCCGCCAUGGCCCCCCCCCGGGACCCUCGGCCUGCUCCUGCUGCUGCUCGCCCCAGGAUUGGCCGCGGCGCAGUCAGAAUGUUCCGGGUGCCUCCCAGGGCCGGGACCAAUCACGGCGCUCGUUGUUGGUGACGUCAUCCUGACCCUGCUGAUCGCGGGCGGAGCCUAUUGGCUGGCGAGGCGGGGCCUCAGAGCCCCGCCCAAGCCCCGCCCCCCGGAGCCGCGACUCGCACUACCAGGAGCUGCAGGGCGCGCGCGGGGACAUCUACAGCGAGCUCAAGCGCUGAGCGCCGCCUCCCCCGCGGCCCUCCGCCCUCUAUUGCCGCCAUUAAAGCGCUUUGUGCCCUUUCCGCAGCCAUUUUUGUCCGUUUUUUCACUGAUUUCGCCCCAAUUCCGCCUUUGUUUAUCAAAAGUGGGGGAAGU